UACGGAGGGAGCUAGCGUUGUUCGGAUAUACUGGGCGUAAAGCGCACGUAGGCGGCGCAGACAAGUCAGGGGUGAAACUCCCGGAGCUCAACUCCGGAACUGCCUUUGAAACUGCAGGUGCUAGAAUUCUGGAGAGGCGAGUGGAAUUCCGAGUGUAGAGGUGAAAUUCGUAGAUAUUCGGAAGAACACCAGUGGCGAAGGCGACUCGCUGGACAGACAUUGACGCUGAGGUGGCGAAAGCGUG
rnacentral:rRNA from 1 species